rnacentral:rRNA from 1 species
CACGUAGGGGGCGAGCGUUGUCCGGAAUUACUGGGCGUAAAGGGCGCGCAGGCUGUUAUGCGAGUCUGCUGUGAAAUGUACCGGCUCAACCGGUGCCUUGCGGCGGAUACUGCAUAGCUGGAGUACUGGAGAGGGAAGUGGAAUUCCUAGUGUAGCGGUGAAAUGCGUAGAUAUCAGGAGGAACACCGAUGGCGAAGGCAGGUCUCUGGGCCACUACUGACGCUGAGAAGCGAAAGCAUGGGGAGCGAACAGGA